rnacentral:rRNA from 1 species
GGACCUAGCGGCGGACGGGUGAGUAAUGCUUAGGAAUCUGCCUAUUAGUGGGGGACAACAUCUCGAAAGGGAUGCUAAUACCGCAUACGUCCUACGGGAGAAAGCAGGGGAUCUUCGGACCUUGCGCUAAUAGAUGAGCCUAAGUCGGAUUAGCUAGUUGGUGGGGUAAAGGCCUACCAAGGCGACGAUCUGUAGCGGGUCUGAGAGGAUGAUCCGCCACACUGGGACUGAGACACGGCCCAGACUCCUACGGGAGGCAGCAGUG